CAAAACAUUAGAGACAGAGAGAUGCUGUGUCUGCUGGCCCACUGCCCAGAUGCUUGACAAACUUGGAGCCUGUGCCAGGCCACAGCCAGGAGUGCCCUCCAGUUGCCGCCAGAGGUAUUGGAUUCCACAUUAACCGUUGAAAAAAAGCAGAGAAAUCCGGAAGAGGAAGGAUAAACAUAGGAAAAUACUUUACUUUGUAUUCAUAGAUUUUGGCAAAGAAAACCAGAUGAGAACCUCAUUUGACAUGUGUGGGAAAAUAUUUGCUUAUGGUAUUAUGGAUGAAGAAAAUAUAUCGACCAGAAUUUUUGCGACUCUGACCAGCAGAACACCUUGGCUGACAUGCUCAUUAUCAAUGUGCCAUUUGUGGCAAUGGAAACACUUUGUCUCUGUCCCUGUGGCAAGAAUGUCUUCCCCCAGACAAGCUGAUCAGAUCCCUAAUGGACCCAAGGCGAGGCACAUGCAUAGGGCAUUGUGUCUAUGUUUUUUCCUGACCUUCUUGUUCCUUAGAGUCAUCCUAAGACUGCUGCUUGUGUAAAGCCUUUCUGAACCAUGCAUCGUU